rnacentral:rRNA from 1 species
GAUGAACGCUGGCUGCAUGCCUAACACAUGCAAGUCGAGCGACCGCACGUGAAUCUCUCUUCUCUUAUGUUAGCGACCGGCGGAUGGGUAACACAUGGGUAACCUACCUAUCCGACUCAGAUAACUUCGCGUAACCGGAGCUAAUACCGAAUGAUAUUUUUAACUGCUUGGUUCAAAAGUGUAAGACGGUCUUGCUGUCACUUAUAGAUGGCUCCGCGCUGCAUUAGCUAGUUGGUAAGGUAACGGCUUACCAAGGCAACGAUGCAUAGCCGACCUGAGAGGGUGAACGGCCACACAGAAAGUGAGAGACGGUCCAGACUACUACGGGAGGCAGCAGUAGGGAAUCUUCCGUGAUGGGCGAAAGCCUGACGGAGCAACGCAGCGAGAGUGAUGAAGGUCUUCGGAUCGUAUAACACUCUUAUUAGGGAAGAACAUAUGUGUAAGUAACUGUGCACAUCUUGAAGGUAGCUAAACAGAAAGCCACGGCUAACUCCGUG